rnacentral:rRNA from 1 species
AUUGAACGCUGGCGGCAGGCCUAACACAUGCAAGUCGAACGGUAACAGGAAGCAGCUUGCUGCUUUGCAGCCGAGUGGCGGACGGGUGAGUAAUGUCUGGGAAACUGCCCGAUGGAGGGGGAUAACUACUGGAAACGGUAGCUAAUACCGCAUAACGUCGCAAGACCAAAGAGGGGGACAUUAGGGCCUCUUGCCAUCGGAUGUGCCCAGAUGGGAUUAGCUAGUAGGUGGGGUAACGGCUCACCUAGGCGACGAUCCCUAGCUGGUCUGAGAGGAUGACCAGCCACACUGGAACUGAGACACGGUCCAGACUCCUACGGGAGGCAGCAGUGGGGAAUAUUGCACAAUGGGCGCAAGCCUGAUGCAGCCAUGCCGCGUGUAUGAAGAAGGCCUUCGGGUUGUAAAGGACUUUCAGCGGGGAGGAAGGGAGUAAAGUUAAUACCGUUGCUCAUUGACGUUACCCGCAGAAGAAGCACCGGCUAACUCCGUG